GCCGAGCUCAGUUGCGAGAGCUUGUAACCCGAGUGGGGGCAUUAAGGUGAUGUGAACGCUGUUGUAGUGCUGCGGGCUUGGUCUAGGUGUGCUACUGCUGGCCCGCCCGUUCCAAGUUGUGUAGUGGACCACCUGGGGCCUAUGCGAAAGCUGAGCCUCACGGUCCAUAAUGUGGCAGGCACAGCGUGAGGCUGGCUUCACAGAGCAGCGACAACUGCCCGCUUCCAACGGUGGAAGGAUAACGGGCCGCUGCACUCCUUGGCCGCUUGGGCCUCGCAGCCUACUCCAGUGGACCAUCACUUUU
rfam:Triticum urartu cultivar G1812 contig654756, whole genome shotgun sequence.